rnacentral:rRNA from 1 species
AUGAUUUGCUUUAACUGUGGUGGACCGGGACAUUAUGUUGGAAAUUGUGUGAAGCCGAAGGCCUGCUUUAUCUGUCAGCAGAAUCAUAAUGUCAACAAUUGUGCAGCAUGGUCUAAAGUUCAACCUACUGCUGCCUUCUUUGGUAGUGGAGCUCAAGGUCUUGGUUUUUACCAUCUUGAUGUCCCUGUUGCAAAUGAGUCCAAUUGGUUGAACUUCCAGAACUGUGCGUGGUUAACAUCUUGA